GACGAACGCUGGCGGCGUGCUUAACACAUGCAAGUCGAACGGAAAGGCCCUGCUUGCAGGGUGCUCGAGUGGCGAACGGGUGAGUAACACGUGGGUGAUCUGCCCCUUACUUUGGGAUAAGCCUGGGAAACUGGGUCUAAUACUGGAUAGGACCAUGCUGUAGGUGGUGUGGUGGAAAGAUUAGUUUCGGUAAGGGAUGAGCUCGCGGCCUAUCAGCUUGUUGGUGGGGUAAUGGCCUACCAAGGCGUCGACGGGUAGCCGGCCUGAGAGGGUGGACGGCCACAUUGGGACUGGGGUACGGGCCAGACUCCUACGGGAGGCAGCAGUGGGGAAUAUUGCACAAUGGGCGCAAGCCUGAUGCAGCGACGCCGCGUGGGGGAUGACGGCCUUCGGGUUGUAAACUCCUUUCAGCCAUGACGAAGCCCUUGUGGUGACGGUAGUGGUAGAAGAAGCACCGGCUAACUACGUG
rnacentral:rRNA from 1 species